CGGGUGAGUAACACGUGGAUAACCUACCUAUAAGACUGGGAUAACUUCGGGAAACCGGAGCUAAUACCGGAUAAUAUUUUGAACCGCAUGGUUCAAAAGUGAAAGACGGUCUUGCUGUCACUUAUAGAUGGAUCCGCGCUGCAUUAGCUAGUUGGUAAGGUAACGGUUUACCAAGGCAACGAUGCAUAGCCGACCUGAGAGGGUGAUCGGCCACACUGGAACUGAGACACGGUCCAG
rnacentral:rRNA from 1 species